rnacentral:rRNA from 1 species
UUGGAGGGCAAGUCUGGUGCCAGCAGCCGCGGUAAUUCCAGCUCCAAUAGCGUAUAUUAAAGUUGUUGCAGUUAAAAAGCUCGUAGUUGAAUUUCGGGAUCAAUUUAUUGGUCGUGCCAACGGUACGCACUGGUACAAUUGGUUUCUCCCUUCUGACGAAGCAUGAUGUCAUUAAUUUGAUGUCGUGGGGAAUCAGGACUGUUACUUUGAAAAAAUUAGAGUGUUUAAAGCAGGCUUUGGCUUGAAUACAUUAGCAUGGAAUAAUGAAAUAGGACGUUUGAUCUUAUUUCGUUGGUUUCUAAGAUCAACGUAAUGAUUAAUAGGGAUAGUUGGGGGCAUUAGUAUUCAAUUGUCAGAGGUGAAAUUCUUGGAUUUAUUGAAGACUAACUACUGCGAAAGCAUUUGCCAAGGAUGUUUUCAUUAAUCAAGAACGAAAGUUAGGGGAUCGAAGACGAUCAGAUACCGUUGUAGUCUUAACCAUAAACUAUGCCGACUAGGGAUCGGAUGAUGUUAAUUUUUUAAUGACUCAUUCGGCGCCUUACGGGAAAC